CAAAAAGUAGUUUAUUAAAAAUUUUAAUUUUGGGGAUUAAGGAUGCUUGGUAGUUUUUUUGA
rnacentral:tRNA from 1 species